rnacentral:rRNA from 1 species
AUAACGGUCCUAAGGUAGCGAAAUUCCUUGUCAGGUAAGUUCUGACCCGCACGAAUGGCGUAAUGAUUUGGGCACUGUCUCAACAGCCCGCCCGGCGAAAUUGUAGUACUGGUGAAGAUGCCAGUUACCCGCAACUAGACGGAAAGACCCCAUGGAGCUUUACUGCAGCUUAAUACUGAAAUUCGGUAGUACAUGUACAGGAUAGGUGGGAGACUGAGAAAUACAGGCGUCAGCUUGUAUGGAGUCGCUGUUGGGAUACCACUCUUGUACUGCUGGGUUUCUAACCUGCGGCCGUGAAUCCGGUCGGGGGACACUGUUAGGCGGGCAGUUUGACUGGGGCGGUCGCCUCCAAAAGAGUAACGGAGGCGCUCAAAGGUUGGCUCAGCACGGACGGAAAUCGUGCAAUGAGUGUAAACGUAUAAGCCAGCCUAACUGCGAGACCGACGGGUCGAGCAGUAACGAAAGUUGGAGUUAGUGAUCCGGUGGUAUGUGAGUGGAAAUGCCAUCGCUCAACGGAUAAAAGUUACCCUGGGGAUAACAGGCUGAUCUCCCCCAAGAGUCCACAUCGACGGGGAGGUUUGGCACCUCGAUGUCGGCUCAUCACAUCCUGGGGCUGUAUUCGGUCCCAAGGGUUCGGCUGUUCGCCGAUUAAAGUGGCACGCGAGCUGGGUUCAGAACGUCGUGAGACAGUUCGGUCCCUAUCUGUUGCGGGCGUAAGAGAUUUGAAGGGAGCUGUCCUUAGUACGAGAGGACCGGGAUGGACGUACCUCUGGUGCACCAGUUGUCCUGCCAAGGGCAUAGCUGGGUAGCUAUGUACGGACGAGAUAAACGCUGAAAGCAUCUAAGCGUGAAACUCCCCCUAAGAUGAGAUCUCUCAUCCUUUAAGGAGUAAGGACCCAGAAAGACGAUCUGGUUGAUAGGCCGAAGGUGGAAGCGCAGUAAUGUGUGCAGCUGAUCGGUACUAAUAGUCCGAGGGCUUGACCU